rnacentral:rRNA from 1 species
CCUGCGGAGGGAUCAUUACUGAGUUUACGCUCUACAACCCUUUGUGAACAUACCUAUAACUGUUGCUUCGGCGGGUAGGGUCUCCGUGACCCUCCCGGCCUCCCGCCCCCGGGCGGGUCGGCGCCCGCCGGAGGAUAACCAAACUCUGAUUCAACGACGUUUCUUCUGAGUGGUACAAGCAAAUAAUCAAAACUUUUAACAACGGAUCUCUUGGUUCUGGCAUCGAUGAAGAACGCAGCGAAAUGCGAUAAGUAAUGUGAAUUGCAGAAUUCAGUGAAUCAUCGAAUCUUUGAACGCACAUUGCGCCCGCCAGCAUUCUGGCGGGCAUGCCUGUUCGAGCGUCAUUUCAACCCUCAAGCUCUGCUUGGUGUUGGGGCCCUACAGCUGAUGUAGGCCCUCAAAGGUAGUGGCGGACCCUCCCGGAGCCUCCUUUGCGUAGUAACUUUACGUCUCGCACUGGGAUCCGGAGGGACUCUUGCCGUAAAACCCCCCAAUUUUCCAAAGGUUGACCUCGGAUCAGGUAGGAAUACCCGCUGAACUUAAGCAUAUCAAUAAGG